GAAAAAGUGAACGCAGACGUCGCUUGCUGUCACCUAUCUCGCGAGGAAUAGCCCUUCUGAUAUUUGCUUCUGACUCCUGCAACAAGAUCGCGAUGGCAACCGAUAACGAUGCAUGGGCAGCUGAACAGUACGCCACAGGCAAUUACGGUACGGAGGUCUACGGUGUUGACGAAUUUGGCACAGCGUAUGGAACGGAACAAUUUGGCACCGGCUACGACGUGCAGGGCUGGGGCACAGAGCAGUAUGGAAUGCAGCCCCAAGGAUUUACGCAGCAAGGUUACUCCGGGAUAUCGGGUACAGGCACGGCUGCAA